AUUCCAGCCCCAAUAGCGUAUAUUAAAGUUGUUGCAGUUAAAAAGCUCGUAGUUGAACUUUGGGCUUGGUCAGCCGGUCCGCUUUUUUGCGCGUACUGGUCCUGACCGAGCCUUUCCUUCUGGCUAACCUGUCUCUCGGGGCAGGCGAACCAGGACUUUUACUUUGAAAAAAUUAGAGUGUUCAAAGCAGGCCUUUGCUCGAAUAUAUUAGCAUGGAACAAUAGAAUAGGACGUUUGGUUCUUUUUUGUUGGUUUCUAGGACCAUCGUAAUGAUUAAUAGGGACGGUCGGGGGCAUCAGUAUUCAAUUGUCAGAGGUGAAAUUCUUGGAUUUAUUGAAGACUAACUACUGCGAAAGCAUUUGCCAAGGACGUUUUCAUUA
rnacentral:rRNA from 1 species